rnacentral:rRNA from 1 species
UACGGAGGGUGCGAGCGUUGUUCGGAUUCAUUGGGCGUAAAGGGUGCGUAGGUGGCGCCGUAAGUCGGGUGUGAAAUUUCGGAGCUUAACUCCGAAACUGCAUUCGAUACUGCGGUGCUUGAGGACUGGAGAGGAGACUGGAAUUCAUGGUGUAGCAGUGAAAUGCGUAGAGAUCAUGAGGAAGACCAGUGGCGAAGGCGGGUCUCUGGACAGUUCCUGACACUGAGGCACGAAGGCCAGGGGAGCAAACGGG